GGGAAUUAUUGGACAAUGGGCGAAAGCCUGAUCCAGCCAUGCCGCGUGUGUGAAGAAGGUCUUCGGAUUGUAAAGCACUUUAAGUUGGGAGGAAGGGCAGUAAGUUAAUACCUUGCUGUUUUGACGUUACCGACAGAAUAAGCACCGGCUAACUCUGUGCCAG
rnacentral:rRNA from 1 species